rnacentral:pre_miRNA from 1 species
GCAAUACUCCCUCCGUUCGAAAUUACUUGUCGCAGAAAUGGAUGUAUCUAGAUGUAUUUUAGUUUUAGAUACAUCCAUUUUCGAGACAAGUAAUUCCGAACGGAGGGAGUAGUUA